rnacentral:rRNA from 1 species
AGUGGCGAACGGGUGAGUAACACGUGGGUAAUCUGCCCUGCACUCUGGGAUAAGCCCUGGAAACGGGGUCUAAUACCGGAUAGGACACGUGGCCGCAUGGUCUGCGUGUGGAAAGUUCCGGCGGUGCAGGUUGAGCCCGCGGCCUAUCAGCUUGUUGGUGGGGUGAUGGCCUACCAAGGCGACGACGGGUAGCCGGCCUGAGAGGGUGACCGGCCACACUGGGACUGAGACACGGCCCAGACUCC